AAUAGAUACCCUGUAGUCCACGCCGUAAACGAUGAGUGCUAAGUGUUAGAGGGUUUCCGCCCUUUAGUGCUGCAGCUAACGCAUUAAGCACUCCGCCUGGGGAGUACGGUCGCAAGACUGAAACUCAAAGGAAUUGACGGGGGCCCGCACAAGCGGUGGAGCAUGUGGUUUAAUUCGAAGCAACGCGAAGAACCUUACCAGGUCUUGACAUCCUCUGACAACUCUAGAGAUAGAGCGUUCCCCUUCGGGGGACAGAGUGACAGGUGGUGCAUGGUUGUCGUCAGCUCGUGUCGUGAGAUGUUGGGUUAAGUCCCGCAACGAGCGCAACCCUUGAUCUUAGUUGCCAGCAUUCAGUUGGGCACUCUAAGGUGACUGCCGGUGGCAAACCGGAGGAAGGUGGGGAUGACGUCAAAUCAUCAUGCCCCUUAUGACCUGGGCUACACACGUGCUACAAUGGAUGGUACAAAGGGCUGCAAGACCGCGAGGUCAAGCCAAUCCCAUAAAACCAUUCUCAGUUCGGAUUGU
rnacentral:rRNA from 1 species